UACGGAGGAUCCAAGCGUUAUCCGGAAUUACUGGGCGUAAAGAGUUGCGUAGGUGGCAGAGUAAGUCUGUAGUGAAAGCGUCCCGCUCAACGGGAUAGGCAUUAUGGAAACUGCUCAGCUAGAGGACGAGAGAGGUUACUGGAAUUCCCAGUGUAGGAGUGAAAUCCGUAGAUAUUGGGAGGAACACCGAUGGCGUAGGCAGGUAACUGGCUCGUUCCUGACACUAAGGCACGAAAGCGUGGGGAGCAAACGGG
rnacentral:rRNA from 1 species